GCCUGAACUGAAACAUCUAAGUAGGGCGAGGAAAAGACAUCAACCGAGAUUCCGCGAGUAGUGGCGAGCGAAAGCGGAAGAGGCCAAACCGAAGGUAGCAAUAUCUUCGGGGUUACGGACAGCUAAAUGAGAAGCGAUUUUUAGAAGAACGGCAUGGGAAGGCCGGCCACAGAGUGUGAGAGCCACGUAUUUGAAAAGGAUCGUAAUCUGGCUGUAUCCAGAGUACCGCGGGACACGAGGAAUCCCGUGGGAAGUCGGGGGGACCACCCUCCAAGCCUAAAUACUACCUGAUGACCGAUAGUGGAGCAGUACCGUGAGGGAAAGGUGAAAAGAACCCCGGGAGGGGAGUGAAAUAGUACCUGAAACCUUGUGCUUACAAGCAGACAUAGCCCGUUAAAGGGUGGUGUCGUACUUUUUGUAGAACGGUCCGGCGAGUUAUAGUAACUGGCGAGCUUAAGGUAUUGAGUACCGGAGGCGAAGCGAAAGCGAGUGUUAAGAGCGCGUAUAGAGUCAGUUGCCAUAGACCCGAAACCAGGUGACCUAGCCAUGUCCAGGAUGAAGUGGAGGUAAAGCUCCAUGGAGGUCCGAACCCACGUUCGUUGCAAUGACCGGGGAUGAGGUGUGGCUAGCGGUGAAAUUCCAAACGAACUUGGAGAUAGCUGGUUCUCCCCGAAAUAGUUUUAGGACUAGCGUUGGGUAUGAGUUUAACGGCGGUAAAGCACUGAAUGGGCUAGGGGGCGAUAAGCUUACUGAACCCUAUCAAACUAAGAAUGCCGUAUAAAUGCUUACCAGCAGUCAGACUGCGAGUAAUAAAAUCCGUAGUCAAAAGGGAAACAGCCCAGAUCUACAGCUAAGGUCCCUAAUACAUGCUAAGUGGAAAACGAUGUGAGAUUGCGAAAACAACCAGGAUGUUGGCUUAGAGGCAGCCACUCGUUCAAAGAGUGCGUAAUAGCUCACUGGUCGAGUGAUCUUGCGCGGAAAAUUUAACGGGGCUAAGCAUGUAACCGAAGCUUAGGGUUUACAGCAAUGUAAGCGGUAGGGGAGCGUCGAAUACGGGGUGAAGUCAUACCGAAAGGAAUGGUGGACUGUAUUCGAGUGAGAAUGCCGGAAUGAGUAGCGAGAAUUAUGUGGGAAUCAUAAUGGCCGAAAGUCUAAGGUUUCCUGGGGAAGGUUCGUCCGCCCAGGGUAAGCCGGGAGCUAAGGCGAGGCCGCAAGGCGUAGUCGAUGCACAUACGGUAGAAAUUCCGUAGCCGGCUCAACUGUUAAGCAUACUGACACAUGAGAGUAGCUCUACCGGGCGUUGGUUGCCCCGGGCGUAAGCGAGCCGAAUGAGGCGAAGUGAGUAAAUCUUGUGGCGAGAAAAGGUGUGUGGAUUGGUUGGGCUGCCCGUACCGCAAACCGACACAGGUAGAUGAGGAGAAGAUCCUAAGGCCAUCGGGAGAAGGGUUGUUAAGGAACUAGGCAAAUUGACCCCGUAACUUCGGGAGAAGGGGUGCCUACGAGAGUAGGCCGCAGAGAAUCGGCCCAAGCAACUGUUUACCAAAAACACAGGUCUCUGCUAAAUCGAAAGAUGACGUAUAGGGGCUGACGCCUGCCCGGUGCUGGAAGGUUAAGAGGAGGACUUAGUGGCAACACGAAGGCCCGAAUUGAAGCCCCAGUAAACGGCGGCCGUAACUAUAACGGUCCUAAGGUAGCGAAAUUCCUUGUCAGGU
rnacentral:rRNA from 1 species